rnacentral:rRNA from 1 species
UGGGGAAUCUUGCACAAUGGGGGCAACCCUGAUGCAGCGACGCCGCGUGAGCGAUGAAGGUUUUCGAAUCGUAAAGCUCUGUCCUAUGGGAAGAUAAUGACGGUACCAUAGGAGGAAGCCCCGGCUAACUACGUGCCAGCAGCCGCGGUAAUACGUAGGGGGCGAGCGUUGUCCGGAAUUACUGGGCGUAAAGGGUUCGCAGGCGGCAUGGCAAGUCCGAUGUAAAAGGCGAAGGCUCAACCUUCGUAAGCAUCGGAAACUGUCAAGCUUGAGUGAAGGAGAGGCAAGUGGAAUUCCUAGUGUAGCGGUGGAAUGCGUAGAUAUUAGGAGGAAUACCGGUGGCGAAGGCGACUUGCUGGACGUCAACUGACGCUGAGGAACGAAAGCGUGGGUAGCAAACAGG